CCUACGGGGGGCAGCAGUAGGGAAUCUUCCACAAUGGGCGAAAGCCUGAUGGAGCAACGCCGCGUGGGUGAAGAAGGUCUUCGGAUCGUAAAACCCUGUUGUUAGAGAAGAAAGUGCGUGAGAGUAACUGUUCACGUUUCGACGUUAUCUAACCAGAAAGCCACGGCUAACUACGUGCCAGCAGCCGCGGGAAUACGUAGGUGGCAAGCGUUAUCCGGAUUUAUUGGGCGUAAAGGGAACGCAGGCGGUCUUUUAAGUCUGAUGUGAAAGCCUUCGGCUUAACCGGAGUAGUGCAUUGGAAACGGGGAGACUAGAGUGCAGGAGAGGAGAGUGGAACUCCAUGUGUAGCGGUGAAAUGCGUAGAUAUAUGGAAGAACACCAGUGGCGAAGGCGGCUCUCUGGUCUGUAACUGACGCUGAGGUUCGAAAGCGUGGGUAGCAAACAGGAUGAGAUACCCUUGUAGUC
rnacentral:rRNA from 1 species